GGAAGCCAGGACACUGGGAGGCGUCGACGGUGAUGGAGCAGGGGAGAGGUGUCGGGGGAGUUGGGCACCUCCGGGAGGCCGAGCUGGUGGGGUUUUGGGGGGGUGGGAUGUCAGUUCUUGAGGUGUGCCUGGACAUCCUCUCUCAAAGCCGUGGUACAGUCACGUGGCACAGAGGGCCCCUCCUUCAUCCCAGCAUCUGCCAUCAACAAAACAAAGCGGGGGAGUUCCCGUUGUGGCUCAGUGGUUAACGAAUCCGACUAGGAACCAUGAGCACGGCCAGGGAUUAAACUGCGUCCUCAUGGAUGCUUGUCAGAUUCAUUUCUGCUGAGCCACGACGGGAACUCCAGCUUGGUUUUCAGUAGCAUGUCUUACAAGCACUUGAGGCUUGAUUUUCAGGGUUAGCGCAGGUGAAUGAUCUAAGUUACCAGGUAGCUUGCCAGUGAUGCCAGACCAUUCCUCCUUCAAGCAAGCCUGUGGGCUCCUGCCCUGCCAGGACUGGUACAAGGACCUUUGCUCCCUGGGGCCUCCCUCUGCUGGAAAGUCCCCUCCCUGGCCCUUCAAAUGCCCACUUGCUAUUCACCUUGGUCCAUCCCAUCCUUCCCCCUCCCCCUUGGCCACCAUAAGUCGGUUCUGUACGUCUGUGAGUCUGUUUCUGUUCAUAGGUUCAUCUGUGCCAUGUUUUAGAUUCCACGCAGACAUGAUGUUUGGUAUUUGAAGAAUGCCUCUUAGAAUGUAUUCAGCAAACAUUUUUUAAGGGCCUCCUCUGUGCCCAGGACACAUAUAGGGCACCGCGAAUAUGGCUUUUCAGGUGAUGAUUUGUACAUCUUCACACUUAGGAUUUUCUUGCUCUCAAGCCUCAAGUUGGUUGCUUUUACACCUUUGCUGGGCAGACAGGGUCCCGGGCAGAAACUCACUGUCCCUGCCCCUUGUGCAGCUAGAAUUCUGAAGUCUCCGAGGGGAGCCUCCUGAGGCCUGCCCACUCCACCCAUGACCGGCAGCUCACUCAGUGGCCAGAGCAGAGCUGCACUCCUCCCAGAGGCCUCAGAAAGAGGAGGGAGAAGGGCUGCAGGUCCCCAUCGUUUAUUCACUCAGUCACUCAGAUCUUUGUGGAGCACCUCCUACGUGCAGCACUGGGUGGGGGGAAACGCUAGAGCUGAGUGGUAAGGGAGACAAACAGCAGAGCGUGCAGUCCAUGACCUACCCCGCCGCCCCCACCACCCCACAGCCUGCAGGACCUCUAAUAUGGCUCCUCCCUGUCCCUUGACCAGUCUCUUCUCAUAUUUUAUGAGAUGGAAGUUCCUGUGGUCUUAUCAUCCACAUCACUAGCUUUCUCUUUAUCUUGUCAUUCCUUUGUACAGAUCAAACAUUCAAAUGCAUGUUUUGCAGCUGUUCCCAUUGUGGCACAGUGGAAACGAAUCCCACUAGGAUGCGGGUUCGAUCCCUGGCCUUGCCCAGUGGGUCAGGGAUCUGGUGUUGCCGUGAACUGUGUUGUAGGUCACAGACACAGCUUGGAGUUGCUGUGGCUGUGGCAUAAGCCAGCAGCUGUAGCUCCGAUUCGACCCCUAGCCUGGGAACUUCCAUAUGCUGUGGGCUUGGCCCUAACAAAAGCAAAAAAAAAAAAAAAAA
rnacentral:lncRNA from 1 species